GCAUGUGUUUAUUUAAGAUGCAUGUGAGUGUAGUAGUGCUUCAGUGAUGGUCUUUUCAUGUUCUGUGUGUUUUGCAAUGUAUUAAUUAAUGUAAGCCUCUUUCUGUUCCCUCUGUUAGUAGGUGGUGUGAGGACUGCUGCCCUGAGAAUGCUGUGUCAGAGACACUUAGACUGUGUGCAUUUUGGAAUGUUCCAAAUGUGUGUCACUUCCAUAAGGAAGAAGUUCCAAGCCUGCAAGUGAGUUCACUCACCAAAUAGAGACACACGCAUAUAGCAUUUAAUAUGUGUGCAUGUACUGUAUUUGUGUCUGUAACUGUUUAGUUUAUCCCCUCCUUUCAUGUGUCUGUUAUGACUUUGUGGGCUCAACUGUCAACAACUGUCCAGGGCGAAGUCGGUCUACCCUGAUGGCACUACCUGAUGGCACUACCCUGAUGAUGUCUGUUAGCCAUGGCUGCUGCCCUCAACAUGGUGAGCCAUCCAGAAGUCCCAGCCUGGAGCCAGAGGCUGCUAUUGCAAGUGAGAUGGGAGAUGGCCUACAGUAUGUUAGGCAUCAGAAAAGUGGUGUACGCAUGAAGGCAGAGUUGCCGCAGGCAAUUAUGAGAUUAGACACUUGACAUUUACUGCGAAAGGUACCAUCAGAGCACCUCUCCCUACCCUGCAGGAUACCUAUACCAGAAGAGUACAACAACGGCCCAAAAGUAUUUCAAAAGACAUUUCACGCUCUGACCACGGACUGUUAAACCACUGAGGUCAAGCAGACGUCUCUGUUCCCACGUGGCAGACUGAGGGAACACCCACAAAACAGACUGGGGAUGAGUUUCUUUACUCCGCAUCCUGUACACACACAACUCCCAUACUACAUUACAUAGACUUGCCAGUUGCCAUACUGCACUUACACACACUGCGCUUUUAACCCCCUUAUCUGUGUCAAAUCAGAUAAGGUUGUGGUUGUGUUCAAACCAUGUCUACUGUUGUCUGUCAACAUCCACUUCAGUCAUACAUUUGAAAUGUCUUAAAUAA